UACGAAGGGUGCAAACGUUAUUCGGAAUCACUGGGCGUAAAGGGUGCGUAGACGGCUUAUUAAGUUCGUUGUUAAAGGCUCCGGCCCAACCGGAGUAUUGCGAUGAAAACUGGUAAACUAGAGGAUGAGAGAGAGAAGUGGAAUUCCCGGAGUAGCGGUAAAAUGCGUGGAUCUCGGGAGGAACACCAAUGGCGAAGGCAGCUUCUUGGCUCAUAUCUGACGUUGAGGCACGAAAGCGUGGGGAGCAAACAGG
rnacentral:rRNA from 1 species